GAUGAACGCUGGCGGCGUGCCUAAUACAUGCAAGUCGAGCGAACGGACGAGAAGCUUGCUUCUCUGAUGUUAGUGGCGGACGGGUGAGUAACACGUGGAUAACCUACCUAUAAGACUGGGAUAACUUCGGGAAACCGGAGCUAAUACCGGAUAAUAUUUUGAACCGCAUGGUUCAAAAGUGAAAGACGGUCUUGCGGUCACUUAUAGAUUGAUCCGCGCUGCAUUAGCUAGUUGGUAAGGUAACGGCUUACCAAGGCAACGAUGCAUAGCCGACCUGAGAGGAUGAUCAGCCACACUGGAACUGAGACACGGUCCAGACUCCUACAGGAGGCAGCAGUAGGGAAUCUUCCGCAAUGGGCGAAAGCCUGACGGAGCAACGCCGCGUGAGUGAUGAAGGUCUUCGGAUCGUAAAACUCUGUUAUUAGGGAAGAACAUAUGUGUAAGUAACUGUGCACAUCUUGACGGUACCUAAUCAGAAAGCCACGGCUAACUACGUG
rnacentral:rRNA from 1 species